GCAUAUCAAUAAGCGGAGGAAAAGAAACCAACAGGGAUUGCCCUAGUAACGGCGAGUGAAGCGGCAACAGCUCAAAUUUGAAAUCUGGCGCAAGCCCGAGUUGUAAUUUGUAGAGGAUGCUUCUAGGUAGCGACCGGUCUAAGUUCCUUGGAACAGGACGUCAUAGAGGGUGAGAAUCCCGUAUGUGACCGGCCCGCACCUUCUACGUAGCUCCUUCGACGAGUCGAGUUGUUUGGGAAUGCAGCUCUAAAUGGGAGGUAAAUUUCUUCUAAAGCUAAAUACCGGCCAGAGACCGAUAGCGCACAAGUAGAGUGAUCGAAAGAUGAAAAGCACUUUGGAAAGAGAGUUAAAAAGCACGUGAAAUUGUUGAAAGGGAAGCGCUUACAACCAGACUUCUGGGCGGUGUUCCGCCGGUCUUCUGACCGGUCUACUCGCCGUCCCGAGGCCAACAUCAUCUGGGACCGCUGGAUAAGACCUCAGGAAUGUAGCUUCCCUCGGGAAGUGUUAUAGCCUGUGGUGAUGCAGCGCGUCUCGGGUGAGGUCCGCGCUUCGGCAAGGAUGUUGGCGUAAUGGUUGUCAGCGGCCCGUCUUGAAACACGGACCAAGGAGUCUAACAUCUAUGCGAGUGUUCGGGUGUCAAACCCCUACGCGUAAUGAAAGUGAACGGAGGUGGGAAGCGCAAGCUGCACCAUCGACCGAUCCUGAUGUCCUCGGAUGGAUUUGAGUAAGAGCAUAGCUGUUGGGACCCGAAAGAUGGUGAACUAUGCCUGAAUAGGGUGAAGCCAGAGGAAACUCUGGUGGAGGCUCGCAGCGGUUCUGACGUGCAAAUCGAUCGUCAAAUUUGGGUAUAGGGGCGAAAGACUAAUCGAACCAUCUAGUAGCUGGUUCUG
rnacentral:rRNA from 1 species